AUAACAUCACAAGCCGAGCUGGUCUGCUGGACGCGAUACUCUCUCUCCAGAAUGAAGCUGUGCGCCGUGCUCGUGGGGCUGUGCUGCCUCGCCCUCGCUCCGACAGGGACCCAGGCCUCCAGCGUGAAGGAGCGAGUCAAGAGGGACGGGGGAGUCAUCACUGCUGCCCUCAUCGGCGCCGGCGCCAAGACUCGUGUCCGGCA